AGCAGGAGUGUGGAGAAUUAACGCACUCGACGACUCUGGAAUAUGGAUGGAGAGAACGACAGUUGAAGACAUGGAUAUUGCUGUCCGAGCACAUAUAAAGGGAUGGAAGUUUCUGUUAUGGUUUAUGACUUUUUUGUAUGGCAUUCAUAUCUUUACUGAUCAUUCAAACAGUGCUACACGAAUUUCCAUUCAGUGUUAGUGUGAAUUGCUGGAGCACAAUAUGACUCAUGCUCAUCUCCAUGUCAAUGCUAGGAGGAGAAAAACUACAUUCAAAGGUUACAGAAUGGCAAUGGGUGGGUUACCUCCCAGGAGCAGAUGACUGGCAUGGUUAGUGAUCACUAGGCCAUGAAUCUCAUGGAUCCCAUGAUACAGGUAUCUGGCCCAGAUCCGACGGAGACAAGCAAAAUCGUGCUGCUGCUUCUUCUUUCGAUUGAAAAUCCAGGUGAAACCUUUCAGGAACUCAGGACGACACGCAUUGAUUAUAUUUCAUUGUGAUGGUUGCUGCCGACACAGCUACUAUGGGUACACGCAACUUCUAUUUCGCUCGUCACCGGAAACCACCGCCCAGAUCCAUCUCUUCUCAACCAUGCCGACGUGGUGGUCAGGGGUGCUUACAACUUGUGAGGACCUGCGUUCUCGCUGUUGAUCCGUGAUGGCAUGGCCUCCCCGUGCCCUAGCCGCGUUCUAGCUGAUGGUUUGGGUCCACCAGCGGAGGGAGAGGGGGACGACCUCUGUCGCUCCUUCUCUCUAGCCUCUUCAUCUUGAUGAAGCCGUAGGAGUAGAGGGGCACACGCGUGAUGGAUCUGCUCCAAGCACCUCAAGCCACGCAUCUUCAAGGUGAUCACUUCAUCCACAUUCAAUGUCAGUUCCCGCGUUUACUCCUUUUUUGGGGUGGAUGGAUGCAUGAUACUCUGAUAGUAGCAGGCAGCUGUAGUACAUACUGCAAAUUGGCACGCUAAAACUAGCCUGCAAUUUUCUC